AAAAAGCCUGGUCCUGACUUUAACAUCAGUUGUAGCCUGAACUACACAUGCAAGUACCCGCGCCCCUGUGAGAAAACCUUUCAUCCCCAAUACGGGAAGAAAAAUUAGGCAUCAGGCACGCCAAUAAAGCAGCCCAAGACGCCCAGCCCCGCCACACCCCCAAGGGAAUUCAGCAGUGAUAAAUAUUAAGACAUAAGCGAAAGCUUGACUUAGUUAAGGCCCCACCAGAGCCGGUAAAACUCGUGCCAGCCACCGCGGUUAUACGAGAGGCUCAAAUUGAUGAUCAACGGCGUAAAGAGUGAUUAGAGAAUAUACAGCUAAAGCUGAAAGUACCCUAAGUUGUCAUACACUAAUGGUGAACAGAAGACCUAAAACGAAGGUAGCUUUAACAAUCUUGAACCCACGACCAUUGGGAAACAAACCGGGAUUAGAUACCCCAUUAUGCUCAAUAGUAAACAACGAUGGUAGCCUACACAAGCCGUCCGCCAGGGGACUACGAGCACCUAGCUUAAAACCCAAAGGACUUGACGGUGCCUUAGACCCACUUAGAGGAGCCUGUCCUAUAACCGAUACCCCCCGUUAAACCUCACCCCUCCUUGCCAUAUCAGCCUAUAUACCGCCGUCGACAGCUUACCUCAUGAGAGGCACUAUAGUAAGCCAAAUGGGAUAUAAACCCAAAACGUCAGGUCGAGGUGUAGCAGACGGAGCGGGAAGAGAUGGGCUACAUUUUCUGGGCCAGAAAACUACGAAAGGUGAAAUGAAAAUAACACAACCGAAGGUGGAUUUAGCAGUAAGACUUGCAAAAAAGAGAGUUGUACUGAAGAAGGCUCUAAGGCGAGUACACACCGCCCGUCACUCUCCUCUAGGCCAAUAGAUAAAUUAAAUAAUACCUGAAAUAGCCAUCAGAGGAGACAAGUCGUAACAUGGUAAGUGUACCGGAAGGUGCACUUGGGAUACU
rnacentral:ncRNA from 1 species